rnacentral:lncRNA from 1 species
CCUAGACCCUGUCUCACCCUCCCACUUCUCUGCUUGUCCUUUUCCUGCAGCACUUACCUUCUGACACAGUCUCCCUUAUUGAGUUCUCACGUUCGUUGCUUCUUGCCAGAUUCACUUCCCUAGAACCUUCUGCUCCUGCGGGUUGGGGUCUCUGUCUGUUCUCUGCUGCGUCCUCAGUGCCCACAGCAGCACCUGGCUGAGACAGGUGCUCAGUGAGUGUGUGCAGAGCGGCAGGGGAGCCUGUGCAGCUCACCAUCCUGAGAGCGCAGCCUCCGGGGACUGGCUCCCGGCUUUGAAUCCUGGCACCUCGACUGUGAGAACUACACAGUUGUACGUUCUAGUUCUUCCACGUGGGGCGUGGCCUCAGCAGAGCUUGACGAGCAGUGCUGGGUCCAUGCUUGGGAUCUGAACUGGCGAACCCCAGGCCGCCGAAGUGGAAUGCGUGAACUUAACCACUAUGCAACCAGGAUUAAAAUGCCCUCCAUAUGGAUAUGGGACCGCUGCACUUUC